GGGGUUCUAGCUCAUCGGUAGAGCGCUCGCUUAGCAUCUUUCCAAGGUUGCGAGAGGCGCUGGGUUCGAUUCCCAGGUACUCCA
rnacentral:tRNA from 1 species